rnacentral:lncRNA from 1 species
CAAAUGAAUUCAAACAAACAGAAGAUUCACCAUCCUUCACGCUACAAAGUGGACAAGCAUGCACACAAUCCCAUCUAACCCUUGCAUGGGCCUGUAAUGGACAAAAGUUAAAAAAACACAACCACCGCCACUAGGAAUCAUUUUGCAUUUGUAUGUUUAAACCUGAUCCUCAAUGCUUCAUCGUUUUGCUAUGUCUUUAAUUAGAUUAUGCACUCUUUGGAAGGUGUGUAGGAAUGCAGAGCGCUCUCCAGUUUUCAGCUCGGAUGAUGAGAUUAUGAAACAUCACCUGAAACAUUAUGAAAUUCAAGGAAGCACCUCACGAUCUGUCUCCCUUGCUGUCUUCACCCUGGUCUCUCUGUCUGCUAGUCUUGCCAGGUCCCGUGUUCAUGACAUGACUGUCCUGGACCUUCUCACCACCGAGGCACCCCAAGCGCACAGACAAGCUCUGUGCCAGUCAGCAGAGCAGAGACAUGAAGAAAAGUCACUCCAGGAAUGCCAAGAAAUAAUACAAAAGAGGCCUCAAGAGGGUAGAGAGAAAUGGGCUGAAAACAAUGUAGUGAGAUUUGGCUCAGAUGGAAGUGAAUAA